GGUAGCCCCAACCUGGGAAACCCGGCGGCCGGACGCGUGGCCCUCGGUACCAGGACGCUCUGGUCCUGCGGGCCUCAGACUCCCCUGUCAGCUGUCGCUUUUCUGUCGUGCACCCGCUCCCAACACCCCCGCACACUGGUGCACGCACGCUCAGCCUGUUUUGCACCGUGCCUACACACUUAGCGUGCUGCUGCUGUUAGGCCCCCACGCUACACGUCAUAGCUGUGGCCAACCUGUCCUUGCCGAGCCCCCCGCCGCCUGGCGGCCCGUACUGCGCCGCGAGCUCCUCUCCUCCCCGCGCGGCAGCCUUACUCGCGCACGGAAGUGCGUCGCAGGAGCAAAAGCACCCCCAUGGGGUCUUAGGAGGCAAGCCGCCCGCAGUUCACCAGAAGGAAGACCUUUCCCCACAACCCUGGGAAAGACACAGCAAGAGAGGGAACACAAGACAGGGAGUGGGAGAGGAAGAAGCAGGCUUUCCACCAAGUAGGGAGCCCAACGCAGGGCCCAAUCCCAGGACCCCAGGAUCAUGACCCAAGCCGAAGGCAGACACCCAAUGACUAAGCCACCCAGGUUAUUUGUGGCUUUGAAUUCACAGGGAUCAAGCCCUGCUUUGAGUCCUGCGUCAGGCUCUCUGCUUGGGUAGAUUCUUUCCAGGAGAAUUUAAUAAUUAAGGGUCAGCUCUGGGCCAGCUGGCAGCCUCUGUGGUCCCUCACAAGGCGGCACAUCCACGGAAGACCGAGUCUAGCUGUCUCCCCUCUUGAUUCAAGUCAUCCAAGGAUCCUUUUCUUGAAAGUCAUGAAACUAACACAAUGGACUGUCAGGGUCAGCAACAGCAGGCGCUUGCUCUGUUUUGUUUUAAAAUUUAAAAAGCUUUUCUUAUGCUGGAACAAAUGCGUAUCUGAGGUUGCUGAAAGACUCACUGCCAAGCCAGUUUUGCAUACAGUCUAAACUGGGAAAGGAGCCCUUGUUGGGAUGAUGGCCAAGGAGCUGGUCAGUUGUGGAUGUAGCUUAAAAGGUCAUUGGCUUACUCGCAAGAAUGCUGGCAGCCUCAACAUUUGCUACAAAUUCCUCUCAUUAGUGAAUUGUUUUUUAAUUUCUUUCCCACUGUUAAACCCAAGAAUGUCUUUUGCCUGAGUGUACUAUUCUCAGCUGAUCUCUUUUCCCUGAGAUGUUAGGAAUGAGGCCUUGCAGCAUCCUCUGUGAGUCACAGGUCAGGAGGCAGGAAGUCUUUCAAGUUCUUUGCAUACAGCCUCUAUCCUCCCUGUCUCAGAAGGGCAUUGAUAGCAUUUCUGAGCCUUAGACCCAGAAGUAUCAGAAUUAGAAAGGAUCUCAGAAAGCCUUCUGAGAGAGUAAUGAACCAUGCUGGUUUACCUGGUACUGAAAAGCUUGCUGGGACAUAGAACUUUCAGUGCUGAAACGGGGACUCCUAAGCAAACUGGGAUACGUGGUCACACUACACUGGUUUUUUGUUGUUGUUGUUGGUUUACACUUAACUGUUCUGCAGAGAAGAAACUGCGGCCCAGGAGUCUGACUUGCCCAAGCUAACAGAAUUAGUCAGUGGCAGAUCUUGAAUUAGAAUCCAGAUCCAUGGGUGCUAGAAUCCAGUUCCUUUUCUUUGCUGGUACUUCCUUAUAUUCAGUCACAGGGUGCAUCGCGCACAAUAGGUGCUUAUGUUUUUGUUGUGGUUGUUUUCUGAGUUCAAGGGCAUUGAUUUUUGCAGAUACAGUAAUUCUUAAUUCACUCAAGGUCCCCAUGAAUCAAUUGUGAAACCAGGUCUCUGGUUUCUAGACUCUGAACAGAACAGAGUGAACAAAGGGGAGGAAAGCUCAGUGAGGAAUAGAAGUUCUUGUGCAGGGACGCCUGGGUGGCUCAGUUGGUUGGACGACUGCCUUCAGCUCAGGUCAUGAUCCUGGAGUCCCGGGAUCGAGUCCCGCAUGGGACUCCCAGCUCCAUGGGGAGUCUGCUUCUCUCUCUGACCUUCUCCUCAUUCAUGCUCUCUCUCACUGUCUCUCUCUCAAGUAAAUAAAUAAAAUCCUUUAAAAAAAAAAAGUGCUUGUGCAAAGAUGAAGAGGCGCAUGUGUGCGGGGGUUCUGAGCAAUACUGCGGCGGGGAACAUAAAGGACAUAUAGAAAUCACACAGCAACAGUGUGGAGUAUGAACACCGAAGAGAAGGAUGUAUGCUUUCCUUGUCCUCAGAGAAGAGAGUAUGGUAGAAAGAAAAAUCGUCAUCAUUCUCCUGAUAAGGGAAGAAAUGUAGCCAUGGCCAUACACACACACAGACCCAUGUGGUAAAGACCAUGUAAUGAAAAAAACUCCGUGACCUGACAUUGAGGAUUGUUGGGCUGGCAGGAAGGGCUACCAAAGAUGGCGAAAGUUCCCGCCACAAGACCUGAGCUCGGACAGGAGAACAAAGGCCCAAGCAGGAAUCUGAGACCCCCGCCCCGGGCUCCAGUGGACAAAUGGGAUCCCGAUGAGCAGGCGGGAUAUCCAAAUAAGGGAAACUUGCCCAAAGACCCCUGAGCUUUCCCCAAGACCCCUUAAAAGCCCCCUCCUCCCUGCCUUGGGCGCGACUUCCGCCACUCUGCUUUCCAGAGUGGCGGAACCUCGCCCGAGGGUGCCCACCUCCUCCCGGCGCAACUU